GUUCUUGUAGCUUGAGUGCUGGAUCAGGGGAGGUGAAAGGGAUGACUGGUGGUAGUGGUGGAGAGAAUGAGAGCCAGACUGCUAUCGAAGAUGCGUCUAUCCAUCAACAUGAGGAAGAUGCACCUAUCCAUCGACAUUGUGCUGCUGAUGAAUCGUUCACCGAGAGUGGUAUUGAUUUGGCAACGCUGUGUAAGUUUGAGAAGGUGCCUACGAGGACGCGCUCUUCUGUGACUGCUAAAAACACCAAGCUGCAUCUGAGUCAAAAUAUCAAGGAAACCUCUCGUAAUCCUGGAAUUCUAGAAGAAGAUCAAGCAUGUGAGACUCGAGGCAAGUCAUCUGGAGCUGAUAGUACUGGGGAUGAAAAUUUGAACGACCAAGUUGAAGAUUUGCCUCUUGUUCAGUUCGUUGAGGACAGUAAAUGCCAUAGGUCUAAUUCUUUCCCCAAUAGCAUUCUCAGGGAAAAUAACGAGAAAGAUUCAGAGUUAGAAUUGGCUGAUAUCCAUAGAUCAUAUUCGAUGGGGAAAGGAGGCGAGAAGCGAGCUAAUGAAGGCAGUGACUUGGAAGAGGAAGCAAAAAGACAGAAAAGUUGGGUGCCUCUGCCAGUUUCUGAAACCAGUGAUCGAUUCAACGCAUUCAAAGCAAGCGAAAUCCAAAGCGACGAGGAAGAAGAUGACAAGCCAAUCUCAUUCUACAUGAGACGGAUCGAGGGUGCUGAUGGAAAAACCGACAACCUUGAAAGUCUGGCUAAUACAAGCAAUAAUAGUUUACACAGGGGAAAAUCAGGAGCUGGGUAUGCAGAAGAGCAUCAGCUGUUUCCUGCUUCGUUUAAGAUGUGUGACCUAAAUUUAGGGGGAGCGGCGGAUGCUAAUGAUGGCAAAAGAGAAUCUGGUCAAGCUGUUGGUUUUGAUCUAUCAAUCAGCAGUUCUAGCAAGUCUCUUGAUUUCAGUACUAAUACUAGGAUGAGCAAUGGUAAAGAGAUAGAAGUGAUUGAUUUGGACAAUGAUGAUUCCCCAGAAGUGGUCAAGUCCAGCAACAACCCUGGGCGAAAGUACUGCUAUGUCCCUAUCUACACCUAUAUACACACAUGUUUUAAAUAUAUAUUGGCUAAUGAGUUGUUGACUGAAACAUUUAACAGGCAAGAAGUUUGUGGAUGUUUUGGCUCCUGCCGCUGAUAAAAGGAGGUAUGUCGAUGGGUAUAACUCAGCUGGCUCUAGGAACAAUUUGGGAGGAAAGAGGUCUAAUCGUUAUGAAUCGGAUUUUGGGAGGAGUGGAUCUUGGUCUGAGAGGAGUAAAGGUUACGAGGCCGAGACUGGUGACGACUCUGUGUCUGGGCAUAGAGAAGAGCAGCCGCUAGUUGAAGAUAUUGCUAGCUCGGUUCAGAGGUCAGCCUCUGGUGAAUUUAUGAGAAAGCGUGAAGGAGCGGGUGAUUCCGAGUCUGUGUUGGACAAGGAUGAGGCACAGUCUAAGACAGGUUCCUCCAGUGCUGGGAAAGAAAUUGUACAGGAUUGUGAGAUCUCAAAAGUGUCCGAAGGUUCUUGUAGCUUGAGUGCUGGAUCAGGGGAGGUGAAAGGGAUGACUGGUGGUAGUGGUGGAGAGAAUGAGAGCCAGACUGCUAUCGAAGAUGCGUCUAUCCAUCAACAUGAGGAAGAUGCACCUAUCCAUCGACAUUGUGCUGCUGAUGAAUCGUUCACCGAGAGUGGUAUUGAUUUGGCAACGCUGUGUAAGUUUGAGAAGGUGCCUACGAGGACGCGCUCUUCUGUGACUGCUAAAAACACCAAGCUGCAUCUGAGUCAAAAUAUCAAGGAAACCUCUCGUAAUCCUGGAAUUCUAGAAGAAGAUCAAGCAUGUGAGACUCGAGGCAAGUCAUCUGGAGCUGAUAGUACUGGGGAUGAAAAUUUGAACGACCAAGUUGAAGAUUUGCCUCUUGUUCAGUUCGUUGAGGACAGUAAAUGCCAUAGGUCUAAUUCUUUCCCCAAUAGCAUUCUCAGGGAAAAUAACGAGAAAGAUUCAGAGUUAGAAUUGGCUGAUAUCCAUAGAUCAUAUUCGAUGGGGAAAGGAGGCGAGAAGCGAGCUAAUGAAGGCAGUGACUUGGAAGAGGAAGCAAAAAGACAGAAAAGUUGGGUGCCUCUGCCAGUUUCUGAAACCAGUGAUCGAUUCAACGCAUUCAAAGCAAGCGAAAUCCAAAGCGACGAGGAAGAAGAUGACAAGCCAAUCUCAUUCUACAUGAGACGGAUCGAGGGUGCUGAUGGAAAAACCGACAACCUUGAAAGUCUGGCUAAUACAAGCAAUAAUAGUUUACACAGGGGAAAAUCAGGAGCUGGGUAUGCAGAAGAGCAUCAGCUGUUUCCUGCUUCGUUUAAGAUGUGUGACCUAAAUUUAGGGGGAGCGGCGGAUGCUAAUGAUGGCAAAAGAGAAUCUGGUCAAGCUGUUGGUUUUGAUCUAUCAAUCAGCAGUUCUAGCAAGUCUCUUGAUUUCAGUACUAAUACUAGGAUGAGCAAUGGUAAAGAGAUAGAAGUGAUUGAUUUGGACAAUGAUGAUUCCCCAGAAGUGGUCAAGUCCAGCAACAACCCUGGGCGAAAGUACUGCUAUGUCCCUAUCUACACCUAUAUACACACAUGUUUUAAAUAUAUAUUGGCUAAUGAGUUGUUGACUGAAACAUUUAACAGGCAAGAAGUUUCCCCCUAUAUGGGCAUUGAUGAUGUUCCAGACUACAAUGAAGGGCUGAUGAUGGUAGAGUAUCUUGAUUCGUUUGGAAACGGUCCUCCAAUGAACAACCCGGGAAUCAGUACUACGGUGCCACAGAUCAAUGACGUUGGCCUUCAAGACCGAGAGGUAGUCACUCUACUUGUCAAGUGUUUUAGUCGCAUAGAAUGUUUUUUUUUUGUGCUAACUGAAUACGUCGCAGGGAGCUCUUGGAAAUGACCAAGCAGCAAAUAAUACAGACGACGAUUCAAUAUUCAUGUCGCUGGGAGAAAUACCAUUGAGUAAGGGCUCAUCAUCAGUUUUAACAUUACGAUUGUUUCUUUCUCUUUAGUAGUAGCUUAUUAAAGAGGUUGAUUAUUGAUGUUGUGUGUGUUGCAGCAUUCUUGCAAACUUGGGACCAACCUCCGGCUAGAGGCUACGAGAAGCCUUUCUGAUACGCCUUUUUUUUUUGUGUUACUAAUAUUAUUAUUAUUAUGAUAUACAUGUCUAUGUACUGGAGUGUGUAGCCAUUGCAUUUGUCCUAAUCCCUCUCAGAUGUAAGAUUAAAAACGACAUUAGUGUGUGUUAUGGUUGUGGCCUUGUAAUUCUGUGUUUGUUAUUGAUGCAUGUCCUUUCUUUUAGCCUUUUAGGUGUAGUUGAAUCAUUCACCCCCAACAUUUUCUUACAUGUAAGUAAUAAAACCGCAAGCCCAGUGGCAUGAUAUUUAUACGCAUGUGUUUAAACGAUAUUUAACAUGAUAAACAUGAAUGCUUAUCAAACCUAAUGUGACUCCCUAGGCAAUUCAGCAAUUCCGGGAGAUCGGAAAGGAACCGAUACCACAACAUCACGAAGGAGCCAAUGACAUAAGCUCACCUCUCUCAGAGAUUAUAACCCUGGUGAGCAACGUUGAAAAGCUGGAGAAUCAAGCUUGAAGAAACAAGGUCUAUGCUUGAAACCACUGGAACCAUCAACAAGAGAGCAUGUAAGAUCACUUCAUGUUUCCUUAUACAGUCAGUGUUGCUUCUAACAGUAGUUUCGGUGUUCAUGUCUCAAUUGUUACCAGAGUCUUCUGAUAUUGCUAUACCCACAUGAACAUGACCCUUUUGGUUAUUUUUAUCAAACUCUGUUCAUUUCUUUUGGCUUUACACAGUUCUUGUUAACAUUUAUGGUUACAGAAUCAAAAGAUAAGUUUAUUUUGUUGGUAUGAUACUACUUUUCAUUGUUAACACGCUAAACCAACACUAGAAAAGCCAACACGGCGGUUGCGGCAGAGACCACCAGCGUGAUGUAAUGAGGAGCGGCUGAAACGCGAGGUGGAGAAGGGCAAACGAGUCCCACUUUCGUUUCUUUGCACUCGCUGGCGAAAAGGCCAAGUGGAUAGUUACCAUGAACGGUGAUGUAGCUGAACAUUACCUUGGCACAGUCAGUAUUCAAGUCGUUGAUUUGAUGUGCGUAAGGGCAUGCAAACUGUUUAAACGCCGCGCAACAUUCUGUCGCUGGAUACGUCGGACCUCUACACUGUCUCGUUAGAUCCGUGUAGUUUUUACUCUCAAAGUCCACUUCACAUUCUGUUCCCAACACAAACAAAAAAAGUGUACAAUGUUCACUAUUUAUGUCAUAGUCCUCACCAAGCCAAGCUAUACAUAGACCAAACAAAAAGACUUCAAUAUACAUUAACAUUUAAAAGUGAUAAAAGUACUAGCUCUUGAAAACAAAUUCAACUAAAAGCAUAUUUGCUUUUGUAUUCUUUUUUCUUUGUUAAUAACUCUGGUUUUAAAUUGGUUAGAGCAUCUACAUUGGUGGUCUUUCACCAAAAUUCUCAAGAUUAAAUAAAUAAAUAUAAAUAAAAAGAGAAAGAAAGCAUUUUUUUCGUAAAAAUACUACAAGUUUUUGAGAAUUUGUUCUUGUAGUUGUAACAAAAUGAAUAUAUAACACUAAUCUUGUGAAAUACAUGUCCUAUUGUAAAUAAUAUGUAUUUUAAAAUAUUAAAAUUUAUUUUUUAAAGAAUUCUCGACCCGAUAACUAUGUUCUUAUGUUAUCAAAAAGAUGUAGAUGAGUAUAUAUAUACACACUUACAUAUAUAUAUAUAUAUAAUAGAAACUAGCAGUAAAUCAUCAGAUCUAACCAACAUAUUCAGUGGAUCAAAACGUUUUCUCAAUAUACAUACGUUUUUUGGCAUUAAGUAAGUUCCUUCCACUAAUCGAUGUUUGAGAUUUGAACACAAUAUCUACAGUAAGCAAACACAACAGAUUAUCACUGUUAUCUCUAAAACAAAUUUGAGGGAAAAUAGAGAACACAUAAAACAUACUUGAUAAGGAAUUUGAAGAUGAGAGAGUCACCAAUAAUGCUAUCAGAAGGAAAAAUAGUUUUACCUCCAUGAAACAAAAGGUUAAAAACUAAAUAAAAAACUUUAAGAAAAGAGUUAUGGUGAAACCAAACAACGGAAAGACAAAGAACAUAUCAGAUAUUAAUUUCUUCAAAAUGUAAACGGUUGUAAUUGUUUAAAAAACGUAAAGAUUAAUUAAAUAAUUAAAUAUAAACAACCAAAACUAUAAAAAGAAAAAACAUACCUCACUAGACAAAUAUCUAAUCAUUUCAAAAGAUCCCUUCCAUUUUGAGAUGAAAACACUUUCAAACAAACUUAUGAUAAAGUAUUUUCUACUAGUGUAAUAUCCAUUGGAGACAAACUUUAUAGAUCUGCAAAAUAAGUAAAUUUGAAAUUGUAAAAAUGUAACUGUUCAUUGUCUUUUUUGUGUCAAAUUUUAUUUGUGAGAGUUAAUCAAGAUGCAGUCCUUAAAAGGAGUAUCAUCUGCAUUGCAUUACAAAAUCAUACAAAUCCCAAGAGCAUUAAGAAGAUUACUGUCUUGCCUAUAAAGACCAUUUUCGAUUUUCAAAACCCACCGAAAACAUGUGGAUUCCACAAGUUUAGACACUCUUGGGUCUCACAGUUAAAAGUAUGAAUAAUACAAUUAAUGAAGGGAUUCAACAGAGUUUGUUUUGUUGUUAUCUUUAAGUUAAAAAAUAUUAGCUCUAAUAUUUAUGUAUUGUGUUUUUGUGCACAAUUUAUGUAUUGUGAUUGAUUCUUUUUUAGAUGUAAAAUGCUAAGAAUGUUCACAAUUUAAAUUGGGUGCAGUGAUACAUAUUAGAAUGUUAUAUGGAUCAUCAAAGAAAUAUUUAAUAUUUAAAGAUUGUAACAUAAAUCCAUAUGAUAAUUAUUUUAACUGUACAAAGUGCUAAUAAGUUGAAAGAGUUUACUUAGAGUAACAUUUGUUCCCAGCAAGAUGAUAUAAAACAAACAAAGAAACUACUUCAUUUCUCAAAAGUGAUCUUCUAUACUUAAACGUGAUGAUUAUAGAAAGGGGAAGAGAUUGUUUUGUUUUUGUGUUUUUUUUUCUUUUUUAAUCCUGGCAUCUUCUUUCACUUUUUCAUUACUAAGUUGAUCUAUAAAUUUCUUGUAGCAUAAAGGUUCAAAAUUCCAUGUUAUAUAUAUAUAAUAAUUAAAUAAAUUCAAGUUAGGAGAAAACUAUAAAACAUACAACACGACUUAUGUAUGCACCUAUGAUUAGCUUACUAUUGAUUUGGACAUUUAUUGACACAUUUAGUGACUAUAUGUUUGUAUGGAAGUGAAUUUUUUCAUGUAUAAAUACUUGUGUAUCUUUUGUUUAUAGCUUAUUUUUACAAGGUACAGUUCUAAAGAUAAAAAUAUGGUAAUGAGAGCAUUAAUUUGUAGUGUGUACAUAUGAUUCAGAGUUUUCAUUAUUCAUUUAUACUCACACAUAUUUUACUAGUUAUGGCAUCUUAGGAGUGAUGAUCGUACUUAUAAGUCCAAAUUAAUAUAUUCUAAAAGAAAGACGUGAAAACAAACUUCUUCGAUUGUAUAAUGUCAUACCAAAUUCCAUCAAUUGAAUCAUUUAUCAUAUAUGGUAAAUGUUAAGCUAAUCCUAUUAAUUAGAAAAACACACGAGUUAAUAGUCAAAAAUUAGAGGUAAGUAAUAUCAUUUCUUUGGUCAAAACUAAUACCAUUGUUUUAAACUAAUUCCAAUUUCCCCAAAAGAUUAAUCAUAUAAUAGUUAAAUAUUAGUGGUAAGUAAUACCAUUUCUUUGGUCAAAACUAAUAACAUGUCUUUUUUUUUUUUUUACAACAAACUAAUAACAUUUCAUUAUUGUAAAUUAAAAAUGUUCAGAAAGUCAAGAAUAGAAUGUUAAAAUAUUAAUUGAUGACGAAUGAAUAAGCGUUUUAUAAAUACUAGAGCCUUUCCCGGGCUACGCAACGCUGUGUAAGUUUGAGAAGGUGCCUACGAGGACGCGCUCUUCUGUGACUGCUAAAAACACCAAGCUGCAUCUGAGUCAAAAUAUCAAGGAAACCUCUCGUAAUCCUGGAAUUCUAGAAGAAGAUCAAGCAUGUGAGACUCGAGGCAAGUCAUCUGGAGCUGAUAGUACUGGGGAUGAAAAUUUGAACGACCAAGUUGAAGAUUUGCCUCUUGUUCAGUUCGUUGAGGACAGUAAAUGCCAUAGGUCUAAUUCUUUCCCCAAUAGCAUUCUCAGGGAAAAUAACGAGAAAGAUUCAGAGUUAGAAUUGGCUGAUAUCCAUAGAUCAUAUUCGAUGGGGAAAGGAGGCGAGAAGCGAGCUAAUGAAGGC
rnacentral:lncRNA from 1 species